CUAUGUUUAAGCGGCUUUGUUUGUAAAAAGUUCAAAGUGUUCUUAAUUUAUUGGAAAUAUGGAUUAUUGAUAGUUGAAGUUACAGCAGAGAGAGAGUUUGACAGUAUGCGUGUUUGAAGAAGAUAAUGCUAUUAUUGGUACAUUCAAUUCCACGAACUGAGUGUUGAUUUCCUCGAUUUCAUUGACUCGAUGAUUCAUUCUCUGAUUGAUGAUUGUUGAAUGUUGAUUGAAUGUUCUAAUGAUCAAUCAACUUAUUGAUUUACUGAUUGAUUGGACAUGUCAUGGAGCUUAAUAUAGAUGGAGAAGUAACUUAGACGUCAUACAGUUAAAUUCAGUAUUAUUGGGGUUGUUCUAAAGCAAGUUAUCAUGUGUUUCGGGAUUUUCCAAGAUUUGAUGCAUCCUGGGUAAUAGUAGCCAAAAUACCGCCAUAUUGAAUUCCAAGAGGAACAUUGACAAAAAAAGACGAAGCAUUUUCUACUUACAUAAGAAGCAAUAGUUAUUUAUGUUAAAACGUACCAUACACACUUUUCCACACAGAUAUUUCUCAAAAAAAAAAACAAUGUCGGUAAUGUAAACAGUAGUUCAUGGAUAUCGCCGAAGUUUAACGAGAGUGUGAGAAUCGGGGACUAGUGGGAAAACCCGAUUAUUACCGAAGCGCACUGUGGAUCUGAAUCUGACUAUCAACUAUUUUCUGAGCUUCCUAUCCAUUGUAUAUAUAUCUGUGGUAUCUGUGGACAUGUUAGACGAAUAUAUGUGAACUGUAAGAUGUUGAAAUGUGCAAAGUUGUUUGUUUAGAAGAGAAAAACACAAUUUUUGGAGAAACUUUUUGUUUGAAUGAUCAAGGUAUACACACUUUUUGUAAAUGAACAUCAGGCUACCAUUUUCAUAGUAAUG